rnacentral:rRNA from 1 species
GUAAACCAUAGCGAGCAAACCGUGACGGCGUCGCAAGGCAUCGUCGCGGUUAAUAAGGAUAACCCUCGUAAUUCUGAGGCUAAUACAAGAACGUACAACCCGCCCGACCCGCAAGGGAAGGGGGGGGAAUGUGUGACCAGGCACGCAAAUUCGAAACUGGGAGUGGCCACACGUUCAGACCGCCAUACCAAACAGUCGCUCGCUUCGAAAGUCCUCGUGACGAGUAGCGGUGGGUUUCUGGGCGGCUCUCGCUGUGUGCUUCUGACCUAUCAACUAGAUGGCAGCGUAACGGACAUGCUAUGGU